AUUAAACGCUGGCGGCAUGCCUUACACAUGCAAGUCGAACGGCAGCACGGGAGCGAUCCUGGUGGCGAGUGGCGAACGGGUGAGUAAAGCAUCGGAACGUGCCCUGGAAUGGGGGAUAACGUAGCGAAAGUUACGCUAAUACCGCAUAUUCUGUGAGCAGGAAAGCAGGGGAUCUUCGAACCUUGCGUUUCAGGAGCGGCCGAUGUCGGAUUAGCUAGUUGGUGGGGUAAAGGCCUACCAAGGCGACGAUCCGUAGCGGGUCUGAGAGGAUGAUCCGCCACACUGGAACUGAGACACGGUCCAAACUCCUACGGGAGGCAGCAGUGGGGAAUAUUGGGCAAUGGACGAAAGUCUGACCCAGCAACGCCGCGUGAAGGAAGAAGGUUUUCGGAUCGUAAACUUCUAUCCUUGGUGAAGAUAAUGACGGUAGCCAAGAAGGAAGCCCCGGUAACUACGUGCCAGCAGCCGACGGUAAACUGUAGUCGU
rnacentral:rRNA from 1 species